rnacentral:tRNA from 1 species
UGUUCUGUGGCUUAGUUAGUUGAAGCGCCGGACUAGCGAUACGGAGUCGUGGGUUUGAAUCCCGCCAAAUCAA